CCUACGGGUGGCAGCAGUGAGGAAUAUUGGUCAAUGGACGCAAGUCUGAACCAGCCAUGCCGCGUGAAGGAUGACGGCUCUAUGAGUUGUAAACUGCUUUUGUAUGAGAGUAAAAGCUGCUACGCGUGUCUGUUUGUAAGUAUCGUACGAAUAAGGAUCGGCUAACUCCGUGCCAGCAGCCGCGGUAAUACGGAGGAUUCGAGCGUUAUCCGGAUUUAUUGGGUUUAAAGGGUGCGUAGGCGGACGGAUAAGUUAGAGGUGAAAUCCCGAGGCUCAACUUCAGAAUUGCAUCUGAAACUGGCAGUCUAGAGAGUAGUAGCGGUAGGCGGAAUGCGUGGUGUAGCGGUGAAAUGCUUAGAGAUCAUGAAGAACACCGAUUGCGAAGGCAGCUUACUGGACUGCAACUGACAUUGAGGCACGAAAGCGUGGGGAGCAAACAGGAUUAGAUACCCGAGUAGUC
rnacentral:rRNA from 1 species